rnacentral:rRNA from 1 species
UACGUAGGGGGCAAGCGUUGUCCGGAAUUAUUGGGCGUAAAGAGCGUGUAGGCGGUCCGGUAAGUCAGCUGUGAAAGUCAAGGGCUCAACCCUUGAAAGCCGGUUGAUACUGUCGGGCUAGAGUCCGGAAGAGGCGAGUGGAAUUCCUGGUGUAGCGGUGGAAUGCGCAGAUAUCAGGAGGAACACCAAUAGCGAAGGCAGCUCGCUGGGACGGUACUGACGCUGAGGCGCGAAAGCGUGGGGAGCGAACAGG